rnacentral:lncRNA from 1 species
CAGCAGCAGGCACAGACACCCCCAAGCCUGUGAGGGCAGCAAGAGCCUACCCAAGUCACCAUGAGUGCAGAGUGCUGCAGAGACACCUGAGUCCUGUGCCUGGGAUGGCACGGCUCCCACCCAGUCCAUGGAGCAUGAUCAGCGCUUGAGACAUUUUGCAGACCCUGCACUUGAUGAAUCAGCUGACAACACCCAGAUCGAUAAGGUGGCUCAUCUGAUCUUGUGGCCACCACCCAGGAACUGACUCAGUGCAAGAAGGCAGCUUCAACUCCCUAAGAUUUCAUCUCUGACCUGACCUAUCAGCACUCUUGGCUCACUGGCUUCCCCCAACCCACCAAGUAGUCCUUAAAAACUCUGAUUCCCCAAAUGCUCAGGGAGG